rnacentral:rRNA from 1 species
AACGAACGCUGGCGGCAUGCCUAACACAUGUAAGUCGAACGUGAUCCGUGCCUUCGGGUGCGGUGAAAGUGGCGCACGGGUGAGUAACGCGUGGGAACCUGCCCAAUGGUAGGGAAUAACCGCGGGAAACUGCGGCUAAUACCCUAUGAGCCCUACGGGGGAAAGCUUUAUCGCCGUUGGAGGGGCCCGCGUCGGAUUAGGUAGUUGGUGGGGUAAUGGCUCACCAAGCCUUCGAUCCGUAGCUGGUCUGAGAGGAUGAUCAGCCACACUGGGACUGAGACACGGCCGAGACUCCUACGGGAGGCAGCAGUGGGGAAUAUUGGACAAUGGGGUCAACCCUGAUCCAGCAAUGCCGCGUGAGUGAAGAAGGCCUUAGGGUUGUAAAGCUCUUUCGGCGGGGACGAUGAUGACGGUACCCGCAGAAGAAGCCCCGGCUAACUCCGUGCCAGCAGCCGCCGUAA